GACGAACGCUGGCGGCGUGCUUAACACAUGCAAGUCGAACGGUAAGGCCCUUCGGGGUACGACGAGUGGCGAACGGGUGAGUAACACGUGGUGAUCUGCCCUGCACUUUGGGAUAAGCCUGGGAAACUGGGUCUAAUACCGAAUAUGACCUCGGACUUCACGGUUUGUGGUGGAAAGCUUUUGCGGUGUGGGAUGGGCCCGCGGCCUAUCAGCUUGUUGGUGGGGUAAUGGCCUACCAAGGCGACGACGGGUAGCCGGCCUGAGAGGGUGUCCGGCCACACUGGGACUGAGAUACGGCCCAGACUCCUACGGGAGGCAGCAGUGGGGAAUAUUGCACAAUGGGCGCAAGCCUGAUGCAGCGACGCCGCGUGGGGGAUGACGGCC
rnacentral:rRNA from 1 species